rnacentral:lncRNA from 1 species
AUCAUUUGUUAAGGACCUUGAGCCCUGGACUAAUAUCUCAGCCUACCAUGAUAAAGGUGCUACCAAAGAAGAGAAGCCAUUUGUGGGUGACUAUGAACCUAGGCCUAAUAUUUCUGCUUACAAUGAGUAAGCGAAGAUGCUUGUAUUGGAAUUGAUGUGAAGUGUGUGAGAUGAUUUAAUAAAAGUUGUGCCUGGUUUCUGACUCAUUACAAGUUGGUAUUCUCCAUACUAUCUAUAUUAAUUAAAUACCUAGAAAUGAUUAUGACUUUCGGAGAUCUUGAUGAUUAUCCAGGAUGUGGGUUUUUGCUUUUUUCAUUUGUUGGAUGUGGGUUUUUUGGAUUAUCCAAGUUGAUCCUAGAGAAAUUCCAUAGUACAGAACAAUAAUUGAAUACUAUAAAUCUUCUCUCAGAGCACUUAACUAGCAUCUUCAUACUUUAGCUACACGCCUUCUUUAAGUAAAGAACAUAUAUACUUAGAAUCAAUGCCAUGCAAGAUCUCAACCACUUCUUGAUGCCCAAUCAAGAAGAAAGCUGUGAGUUUUACCCCAAUCCAAAACGACAAUGAUGAUAAGGAUGGAAGAAAAAGAUGAAUCAAUUUCCCGAGAAAGGAACACUCAAAUUUUGGAAAAACAAUGAGGAGCACAAAGGGAAGAUAGAUGAUGACUAUUGUGUUUCCCUAACCCUUUGGAAAUUAAGAUAUAAACUAUUCACAGAAGCAAUAGUUUGUCAUUAACUCUUAGGUGCAACCAGCUUGGUCUCCAUAUCAGUGAGUUAAUGUAACAUAAUUUGAUAAAUUUUCUAGCAACUAAGAUCCUCUUUGGCAACAGUUUUUUAGAACAACAUUCCAUUUUCCCAAAAAAAUACAAAAACAAAAACAUAGAUUAGACAACCAAAAAAUUAUUUUUUGUUUUCUAUUCCUCAAGAUAGAAAAAGUAUUUUAAAAAAAUAUCUUUUAGUUGUUUUAAGUUGUUUUCGUUUGUUUUUUAAGAACUAUUUAAAAAAAUAUAUAUAACUAUGAAAAAUGAUUAAAGAUAAAACACUUGACAUAAAAAUUAUAUUUAAAAAUUUUAAAAAUAAGUUAAAAACAUUUCAAGUUCUCAAAUAAAAUAUUUGAGAAUGAUUCUCAAAAAUUAUUUUCAAAAAACAUCUUUUAGUUAUUUUAAGUUGUUUUUCAUUUAUUUUUUAAAAGUUAUUUUAAAAAAAUAAUUAUAUAAAUAUAAAAAAUGAUUAAAAAUAAAAUGCUUGAUAUAAAAAUUAUUUUUAAAAUAUAUCUAAAAAUAUUAAAAAUAAAUUAAAAACAUUUCAAAUUUUCAAAUAAAAUAUUUGUUCUACAAAAUAUUAAAGGAUGAUUCUCAAAAAUUAUUUUCAGCAAACAAGACAAAGUUCGGUUAGAACAUGGUCGACAACAAUCCCAUCCCGUGAUCAUUUCAAACAAUUAUAAAAAGCAUUGUUUAUUUUUCUUCUAAUUUUAUAUGGAUUCGGUUUGUUGCCACCCCUCCAAAAGAUAGAAGAUUAGAAAAAUACCAAGUGAAUAGCUAGAAAACAAGGACAUGCCAGCUUUAUAAGCUAGAAAACAAAAAUAAUAAUGGAACACCUAUCUUUUUCAUCUAAUAAUAGGAGGAAGUGGGGUUGGUUACGUUGGUAGAUCCAAUCUAUUGAAUAAUUUGAGAUGAAUGUAGGGAUCAUUAUUUCAUUGAAAUUGAAAUGAAGCAAUAUAUAUAUAUAUAUAUGAAAGAGAUAAAAAAAAAAUUACGUGUUUCCACGAUUAAUAUAAUUUCUACAUUCAUAUAAUGUAUUAAUACUAAAAAAUUAAUAAAUUGAAAGAAACAAGAAGAAUCACAAUGGUAAAAUUCUCAAAAAAGAUUUUUCAAUUAUGUCUGUAUUGUCUAAAAAAACAAAGCUUUAAACUUAAGGCGUUAAAUAUAUAAUGGGGGUAAAUUCAUCAUUAAUUAUAUAAAAGAGUUACAUCGCUCUCCACAAGUUCGACUCCUACCAUCUUAAAUGAAGUACAUAACAUAUAUAUAUAUAUAUAACAACAAAGAGACUACUUACAUAAUUUAAUUCAUGAGAGGGUCAAUCAAAGUAUUUAUCUAAUGUAAAAACCUUUAUUAGAAAUAAUACAAUUUCACCAAAACUAAGAAAAAGCAAACUUCAAAUAAUUUAUGAAUUCCAAUAUUAGCUUUAAUGAGAGUAAAUGAUUAUUUAAGAAAAUUACAAUGAAAAUCUUCAAAUCGUAAACAAUUAUUGUUAAAAUUUUUAGUGAAGUGCUAUAUGGAUGUAUUUAUUGUUUUUUAUUUUAAAAAAUAUUAUAUAAAAUAACUUUUAUAUAAAAUACAAAAAUUCAUAAAAACUUAUUUUGAUAGGAUAAUGUAAGAGUUUCUAUAUUGUUAUUUUAUACAGAAGUUUUUACUAUUUUUUUUUAAUGAUAAAUGAAGAUUGUUGAAGAUUUUACCUAGAUUUCCACAAGAUUUAGAAGCAUUUUUUAAUUGCCCUUAUGUUAACACGUUACUAAAAUAUUGAGCGUGCAAACACGUAGAAAAAACAGGGCAGUAAAAUAAGGUUGACAAGCCAUCAAAUCUUCAAGAAUAUUUCUUGACUCUUGAGUAAAUGGACAGCCCAAGAAAUUAUGGGUCCACGCAUUUCUUUAGGAAAGCCAUUGGUAAAUAAAAACAACUAUUCAUGUGACAUUUGAAUUUUAAAAUGUUUGAGGGAAAAUAAAUAAAAGGAAAAAAUAGAAGGAAAUUAAGAAAUAUAUUGAUUAUUUAGAGAGCGUAAAACUUAAUACUUAUUAUUUAAGUUGAAUUCAAGUUAAAUUAUACUUAAAUUGUUAACUUAAAAUUUAUUACUCAAUUUUUACUUAUUAUUGGUAUAAAGGUUGUUUGAUAAAAUUAAUUUAAAAUAUAUUUUAAAUUAUUAAAUUGAUAUAUUCAUCCUUAUAAAUUAUAAUUAGAGUGAAGGAGGUUAAAUAACAGUGGAGGUCAUGGAACAUCAAAUGAGAUUGUAGAGAUAAUUAAGGUAAAUGAUGAUAAAAAUAUAAAAUAAAGAUGUGAAUAAUUAAGGUAAAUGAGGAUAAAAAUAUAAAAUAAAGAUGUGAACUUAAUAAUAAAUUGAUUAUUUUUACUUAUUACUUAAAGUUGGUAUUAACUUUAAGUCAUACUUUUAAGUUAUUUUACCAAAUGCGCUUAAUUUAUUUAAUGAUUUCAAUUAAGUUAUCAAAUUGGUUUAUCAAACAAACACUUUUAUUUUAUUUAUUUAUUUGUUAUUUUUAAUAACACGAGAUUGGAUUUCCUGUUAUGUUUGGUUCUUGAAAAAUACUAAGAAAAGAAAAAAACUAUAAAAAAAAUAAUUUUUUUCAUGUUUGAUUGUCUUAUAAAAAAUAUCAAAGAAAAUAAAAUAUAAUUAAAAUUGGUUAAAAACUUAUAUAUUUUUAAAUUAUUUAAUUUUUAAAUCGUUGAGUUAAAAUAAGUAAAAUGAGUUUAAAAUAGCAAAUAAAAAUACUUUAUUGACUUUUCAUUUAUUUUUUAUUUUCCUUCACUUUUAUUUUCUUUUACUUUUUCUUUAUAUUUUAUUUUCUUUGCAUUUUCCCUCAAAUUUUCUGAAAGCCAAACAUAGCCUUAAUAUUUUUCUUCAUUCCCUCGAUCCAAAAUCAUUCCUAUGAAAUCUAAGAGGAAAGUUGAGCUCUUGUCCUUGAGCAAAUGAUGGAUUAGAAAUAAGGAAAAAUAACAUAAUCUGAUUCUGAUCCACUUGAUCCUAAAGUUGGCCUGGUGCCAAUAUUCUAUGUAGAAAAUUUGGUUUGAGAGCUCGUUUCCUACAGGUAAUAUUUUAGCAUUACGUGGGGACCUUGGUUUGCAUGAAAGCAAAGGGUUGGUCACAUAUCUAGCCUCAUAGAGGGCUUUAGCCUGAAUAUUUUGAACAAUUAGUUGAAAAAUUCUUAAGAGAAAUGUUUCAACAUUACUUGGGUUUGUCAUGCUCUUAGAUGGUGUUUGUUUGUUUUCACUUAAAUCUAAAUAAAAUUUAAUUUAACUUAAUUUUAAAUACAACUUAAUACUAUUAAAUAUUUAGUUAUUCUUUUUAUUAUUUUAUUUAUGUUAAAUAUUUCGUAUUAAAAGGGUGAAGGAUGCGUUGAAAUUGUGUUUUGGUUGUUUCAAAAAGAUAUUUUUAUCAUUUAACAAAAAAUUAAAUAUUUUGACUUUUUCUAUUCAAUAAAAAUUUUUAAAAAAUAAGUAACAAGUAAAUAAAAAAAGUUAAAAACAAACGAUCUAAAAUUUGAAAGCAAAUUGUAUUUAACAUUAAAUUAAAAAACAAAUACCAUCAUAAACUGUCUACACAACAUUGAAUUAAUCAUAUAAUAUAAUGCUUAAAUAGGGUUUUGGCUCGAACUUUUCUAGCAAAUUAUGGUUAGUUAGAGCAUUGGUCUUUACCAAGUCUACCCAUGAAUAUGAUAGAAUAGACGUGAGAAGUUAUCUUUUUUCUUUUCACUUUUUAGCAGAGGUUACUAUAAAAUUCAACUUAAUUUUAUUUUUUACACAUUUAUACUUUUGCAUAUUAUUAAAAACACAUAAGAAAACCUAAUCAAUGUGAAUCUGAGAAAUUUUGAUUUCAGAAACUUCAAAUUAUAUUAUAAUCUUUCUAAAAUAUUCUUAUAAUAUAAAAUUUUAACUUUUUUAUUUUUGUUGUAAAUAUAAAUGUUUGUUAAUCUCACUAGAAGAUUGUACCAUACCACCAUGGUAUGUUAUUGUUUGAGAUGUUACAAACUUACAACAUACCAACAACCUUUAUAAUAUUUUUUGCUUGGGAUUCUCUUGUCUCGUUUAGGUAUGGUCCAUAUGGAAGGAAACGAAAAAGCUGAAGGGCAUGACAACCCUAUAUGCUAGAAAACAAGACGAUCAUGGAAAAUCUCUCUUCCAUUAUUAACGAAAGCAAUCAUGAAAAUAGUAAGUGGGGGCGGAGAAAGGGAAAUGGGCUUAAAAAAAAAUGUGGUUGACGAUCAUGGAAAAUCUCUCUUCCAUUUCAAAAAUGCUACUUUCCAUCCUCGAAUGGACACAACAGUAUUGUAUCUCUUAAAUGCUAUUAGCUGAGAUAGGAUCAUGUUGUCGAAGCAAUAACCCCACUAUUACGAAAUUGGUGGAACCACAUUCAUAUCAGUUAACAAAAUCACACAAAUAUGAUUGUGGACAGUUUUGUUUUUUGUUUUUUUUUAUUAUGAUUUAUGAAUCUUUUUAAACAAUAACUUAAUUGUCCUUUGUUAAAUAUUUGAUGUAAACUCUUUUAUCAUAAUAUUUUUAAAUAUACCCAUUCAAUCCCCUUUGAGUGUUACCCUCCUAGACAAUAGUUUUUCGAGAAUAACAGAUGGAAUCAAGAUACAAAAUAAUGAGAUCUCAUAUAUGAUACAAAUGAAUGAGAGCUUGAAAAUAAAGACAUGAAACCCUAUUUGUGCUCGUAAGAUUAUUUUAAACAAAAAUGUCAUUCAAUAUUGUAAUAAGACCUUAUCUUUCAUCUCGAUUGGAAUUAAUUAAGAUACAAAGAGAUAAGAUCAAGAUAAGAAAUGAUGGGAUCUCAUAUUUGAUACGAAUGAGUGAGACUUGGAAACAAAAGCAAGGAACCCAUAUUGGUACUAAUGUCUUAUCGGUAUGUUCCAAAAAGAGGUUCAGUUCUAUAGUAAAACUAUUUUUUUUUAUUUUUUAUCUCAAUGUGAAAAUGUUUUGAUCACAAAGGCAUUAUUAAUAUCAUCCUGCAUUAUUCAUCAUCAACGUGGAAUAGUAAAUUUUCAAAUCCUUAAUUAACAUUUUUUGUUUUCUUGUACUUUUUCUGUGUAUAAAUAGUAAGAGCAGCCUUGAUGCAAAUCACACAGUGGUAACCUAAGUGUUUAAUUGAUUGAGAACAUGGAGUCUUCCUUCGCUUUGUUUGUUAUUCUCUCACUUGUCUUGGUAAUCUUCAUUUCUUAUAGGCCAAGAAAAAUCAAGGCCUCGAUCUUAGAUAUGACUUCAUAUGGUUUAUACUAGUUCUGUAGCAGCGAGUUCUAAUAUAUUUCCCUCUUCUCUGAGCAGGUUGGCAACACAAUAGCUGCAAGAAAGGACCCUGGGGAGUAUUGGAAAGAUGCCAUGAAGGAUCAGCCCAUGCCCAAGGCCAUCGAAGGCGUUCUCUCCGCCAAGAACCCCAACUGCCAUACAGCUACGGAGGCAAGUAACGAGCAGGCCGAUCAGCUUCUAAAGGAUUUUGAGCAGAAAGUAGAGAAGGCUUUUGCCGAGGACUUUGAACCCAGACCCAAUGUCUCGGCUUACCAUGAUGACAGUAAAGUUGGAGAAGAAAAAUCAUUUGUUAAGGACUUUGAGCCCGGGCCUAACCUCUCAGUAUACCAUGACGAUGAAGUUGCUUCAAAGGGAGACAAGUCAUUUGUUAAUGACUUUGAACCAAGGCCAAAUCUCUCUGUUUAUAACCACUAAGGGAAAGCCAUGUAUAAUUGAAGCAGGUACAAGUGGUCUAUGUAUGCCUUUCACAUAAGUUGAUCAGCACUGAAGCUAGCCACAUGUAAGAACUAAGAAGUAAGAUCGAUGUUUCAGGUUUGUAUGAGUAAUGGUGUGAAGUAGUAUUGAAGUGUGGAGUGUGAAUUGUAUUAUGAUGAUUUAAUAAAAGCUUGUACCGGCCAGGUUUUGCUUUUGAAUCGACUCAAUGACGCUUAUUACUUAAUGACUUAAGUUGAUUUUAAGUUAAAUUAUUCUUAAGUUAUUAAUUUAAAACUUAUUACUUAUUUUUUAUUUUAAGUGUUAAAAUUUUUUUUAUAAAAUUUAUUUUAAAUUAUCAAAUUAACAUAUUUAUCUUCAUCGAUUGUAAUUAAUAUUUAUCAUUAUUAUUUUAAUUAAUAUAUAUUUUGAUUAAUUUUAAGCAAUUAAUUUGUUUAUUAGACAUUCAUACUUAAAGUAUUAUAAAUAUAUAAGAUAACUUUAAAAUAUUCAGUAUAAAAAUGAGUCAUAAAUAUGAGGUCAUGGUUGUUAAAUAUAUGUCUCAUUAAAUAUGAGUAAAUAAGAGCUUUUUCGGAACAAAGUUAAUAGCUUUUUUUUGUUAAUGGGCUUUCAUUAGAAACACAUUCAAGGAAAAUCAUUGUAUUUGGAUAUAUAAAAAAUAAAUAAAUUAUGAAGGAUCACUUGUCUUACACUCAAUUUUGAUGUACACAACAAUGAGUCAAUCACACACCUAAUGGGUCAUAGCAGUUGAAUUUUUUGGUAAAGAACAUGAUAUAUGUUGUGAGCUCAAAUCUUUUAAGUUUAAACUUUUAGAAAAAUUUAUAAUUUAAUAUGCUAUUAGAACUUUGUUUAGUAGAAGGUUAUAUUUUCGAAUCGUAACUUUAUAAUUUACAUAUUUUCUUUUUAGGAAAAUUGAUUGGUGAACACUUUCCUAACAAAUCAAGGUCACUUAGAACAUUCGCUUUCACCAAGCCUAUCCCAUGAAUAUAAUAGCAGACCCUUAUGCAUGAAAAGGACUAUGGGCCUAUGGCAUGGCAUAUGAAUAUGAAAAUGGCGUAACUAACAAGGAAGUCGUAUGGAGUAGGACAUAUUAUGUCAAAAAAAUGGAGUAGGACAUAUAUAGUGCGACCAUUUAUCUUCAACUAUUGUGAGAGUGUUUGAUAAAUCAACUUAAUAACUUAAUUUGAUUUAAUAACUUAAUUUAAGUUGUUAAGUAGAUUAAAUAAGUUUGAUAAAAUAACUUAAUAUCAUAACUUGAAAUAAAAAAUAAUUUUAAAUUAUAAAUUAAAAUAGUUAAUUUAUUCUUAAUCUUAAAUUUUUUUUUGUCUCAUUUGUUGAUCCAUCCUAGUGAGAAUAUAGUUAGGAAUUAUGAUUCCACAUUCAUAAUUCGUUUUUUAUAAUAAAUAUUUUAUGAUUAUCUUGUAUAUCUAUAAUACUUUAAAUAUGAAUGUUUUACAAAUAAUUUAUUACUUAAAAUUAAUUAAUGUAAAUAAAUCACUUAAAAUCAAUGAAGAUAAUUAUUUAGCCAUAGAAGCAUGUUCUUCCUCAGUCAUUGUGAAGUAACAAUCAACCAGGAAAGAUGAAGAAGAAUCAAGAAAGAUCAAGGACAACAGAAAAUAUGAAGCUCUGAUACCAUGUGAAGAUAUGCAGAAUUGUAAGGAAAACAGAGGAGAAAAUAGAGGAGCACUCAAACCUGUAUUGAAACUGAAACUCUCCUUACAUUUAGAUGAGAUAAAAAUAUACAGGUGAGGUCUAUUUAUACACUUGAAAUGGAUCAAUAAAGCUGUUAAGUAUUGACAACUGACAUAACUAAUUUAACUGACAUUAGUUAGAUGAAUUCUGUUUGGCUAUUUGUGAUUUUAACUCUAAUUCAUCUAUCAGAUUUUGGAUAUUCCAACACCCCCCCUCAAGAUGAGAAUGAAUGUUUAUCAUUCCCAUCUUGCUGAUAAGAUGAUGAAAAUUGAGACAUCCGAGAGGUUUGGUCAAUAUAUCUGCCAGUUAAUGCUUGGAAGGAAUGUGGAUUAUUUUGAUCAAACCCUAUUGCAAUUUCUCUCUAACUAGAUGGCAAUCGAGUUGUAUAUGUUUUGUUCGUUCGUGGUGUACUGGGUUGGAAGCUAUUUCUGAAGCAGGUUUGCUGUCAGUAUAUAGCAGUGCUGGUUAAGGAUGCUUAACAUUCAAAUUAGCCAACAAAUAAACCAACCAUUGAAGCUCACAAGUUGUAGUGGCUAAAGCUCUGUAUUCAGCUUCUGUCGAGGACCUACUUACAGUAGGUUGCUUCUUUGAUUUCCAAGAUAUGAGAGAGUCUCCUAUGAAAACUGUGAAACCAGUAACACUUCGCUUAGUGUCAAUGCAGCCACCCCAAUCACUGUCAGAAUAUGCCUUUAAAUGUAGAUCAGAUGAAGCCUUGACCUGGUGUUGCCUUAAUGUAUCGAAGAACUCUUUCUACAGCUUGUAAAUGUGUUGAAUGAGGAUUAGACAUAAACUGGCUGAGAGCUUGUACUGCAUAUGCCAAGUCAGGUCUAGUGAUUGUUAAAUAAAGAAGUCUGCCAAUGAGUCUUCUAUAUGAUGCAGGAUCAGACAAUAAAGGACUUGAAUCAUUGGUAGUAAGUUUUAAACUUGAUUCCAUAGGAAAACCAACUGGUUUAGAGCCAGAGAAACCACUAUCUUUCAAUACAUCCAGAGCAUACUUUCGUUGAGACAACACAAUACCUUUUGCUGAUCUGGCUACUUCAAUGCCUAAAAAAUAUUUCAGUUCACCUAAAUCUUUUAUAGUAAAAGAUUCAUGGAGAAGCUUUUUCACAACAUCUAUUUCCUUGAGAUCAUUUGAAGCUAUUAUAACAUCAUCAACAUAGAUUAAUAGAGCAAUGAAACUAGUUGAUGUUUGUCUGAUAAAAAGGCUUGAAUCUGUCUUUGCUUGACUAAAACCAAACUUGAGUAAAGAUGAAGACAACUUUGAGUACCAUUGCCUUGAAGCUUGUCUCAAACCAUAUAAACUCUUUUUGAGUUUACAAACCCGAGGGUCAUUUGGUGUUGAAAAACCUGGUGGCAAUUGCAUGUAGACCUCCUCAUUUAAGUCUCCAUGUAAGAAGGCAUUAUUUACAUCAAGUUGAUGUAAAUACCAUUGUUUAGCUGCUGCAAUAGCAAGAAGCACUCUAACUGUUGUCAUCUUUGCAACAGGAGAGUAUGUGUCAAAAAAAUCAAGUCCCUCUUGUUGAGUGUAGCCCUUGGCUAUAAGCCUGACUUUGUACCUUUCUACACUUCCAUCCGCCUUAAAUUUCACUCGAUAUACCCACUUACAACCUAUAGCAGUUUUGUUUGGAGGUAAAAUUGCAAGAUCCCAAGUUUUAUUAUGCUCAAGAGCUUUUAUUUCAUCAGUCAUGGCAGUUUUCCAAUGAGGAAUUGAGACAGCCUGUUUGUAAGUUUUUGGUUCAAAAGUGGAUGAAAUAACAGAAAUGAAGGCUUUGUGUUUGGAGGAUAAUCUGGAAUCAGAUAAAAAGGAGAAUAUGCAGUAGGGCUUACCAGAUGAGGAGCAACUUGAAGGUGCUUGAGUUGCUGAAUCAAUCUUAGUCAUAUUACCACAAUAGUAAUUCUGCAAGUAUUUAGGUAAAUGCUUAGUUCUUUCAGACCUUCUAAGACUAUUAGCAUCAUUGUUUGCAUGAAUUGUAUUUUCAGGAAUUGAAGAUUCAAUAACAGAGGUUGGAUCAGUAGAAUUUGUAGAACCAGAAGUUAUAGAAACUGAGUUGUUUGGUUUGCACGAUUUGGAUUCAUAUAUUUGGGGAAAAUCUGGAAAAACAAAAGGUUUGUGAAUUGUGUCUGGAAUAGAGGGAAAUGUAGAUUCAUGAAAAAGUACAUUCCGAGAAACAAAAGUUUUGAGAGUUGUUAAGUCAAGAACUUUGUAUCCUUUAAUGUUUGGUGGAUAACCAAGAAAAAUACAUUUUGUUGCUCUUGGAUGGAAUUUGCCUCGAUUGUUUGUGAUUGUACUAGCAAAGCAUAAACAACCGAAGACUUUGAAGUAAUUGUAGUUAGGUGGCUUUUGAAACAAUAACCGAUAUGGUGUUUGAUUAUUUAGAAUGUAUGAUGGAGUACGAUUUAUCAGAUGUGUGGCUGUUAAUACACAAUUUGUCCAAUAGGAUAAGGGUAAUUUUGACUGAAACAUGAGAGAUCUAGCUACAUUCAAUAGGUGUUGAUGUUUUCUUUCAACCCUUCCAUUUUGUUCAGGUGUUUCAACACAUGAUAAUUGAUGAAUAAUGCCAUGUUCUUGAUAGAAAGUAGGCAUAUUAAAUUCUUGACCAUUAUCUGAUCUAAGAGUUUGAAUAUUAGUGUUGAAAUGAGUGUGAACAUAAGCUAGAAAGUUGGUAAGUAUAGCUCGAGUUUCUAUUUUGGUUUUCAUUAAGAAUAACCAAGUGAAUCUUGUGAAAUCAUCAACAAUAGUUAGAAAGAAUCUGUAACCAGAAUAUGAAGGAAUGGAAAAAGGCCCCCAAAUGUCAGUGUGAACCAAUUGAAAAGCUUUAUUUGAUUGACUAUUUGAUAUAGGAAAUGGUAGCUUUUUCUGUUUAGCUAAUGGAUAGAUCUCACAAACUUUGUUAUGAAUAGCCUUUACAGAAGAAUCAGAACUAUUUAUGAGUUGUAUUUUUGCAUUUGGAAUAUGGCCUAAACGAAAAUGCCAUAGAUCAGAAUUAACAGUACAAGACUCAACUAAAGAACUAGAAGGUAAACCAAUUGAACUAGAAAGCAUUUCUUUAUUUGUUUGAGCAAAUAAUUGUUGAAGAUGGUAUAAACCAGAUUGAACUUCAGCAAGCCCAAUCAUCCUCCAUUUGCUGAGGUCCUGCAAGAUACAUUUGGAUUGAAGAAAAAAUAAUCCAAUUGAAUUAUCUUUAGUUAAUCUUGAUGCAGAAACAAGAUUGAUAUUGAAAAAUGGAACAUAAAGAGCAUUGUGUAAAGUAAUAUCAGGUGAGAAUUUUACAGAUCCAGUGAAGAUAAUUGGAACUGUUUGUCCAUUUGGUAAAUGAACUUUGGAAGAUGUUUUAGGUAAAACAAGCGAGUCAAAUAGAAGGGGAGAACAUAUCAUAUGAUCUAUUUCUCCUGUAUCAAGAAUCCAAGUGAACUGGUUCUUUGAUGAAGAAACUGUAUUGCAGAAAAAAGAAGUACCUGAGGUGGAUGCAACAUUGGCAGUUGCAUUAGAAUUUGUGUUUGAGCUGGAAAGGUUGUUGGCUAGGGUAAGCAGAUUUUGGAUUUGUUCUUGAGAAAAAAUCAUGUUGGAAUUACUUGAAUUUUGCUCCAAAACAUUAGUAUUAUUUGCAGUGGGCAAUCUUUGAAAAUUUUUUGCUGCAGUUGGUGUAGAGUUAAAUCUUUUUCCUCUUGGUCCUUUCCAUCCAGGAGGAUAUCCAAUUAGCUGAAAACAUUUAUCAACUAAGUGACCCGAAUAACCACAAUGAGAGCAGAUUGCAUCAGACUUUCCUUUCUGCUUUGUGAAUUGAGUAUUACUUGUUGAAACGAUUCUUGAUGAUUGUUCAACAACCAUUGCUUGUGAAUCAAUGGAAAUGCCAACUGCAUUAGUUAAUGAUCUUUGACUUUCUUCUUGUAAAAGUAGGGAGAAAACUCUGCUCAUAGAUGGUAAAGGAGAUUGCAGUAGCAAUUGACUUCUAAUUGCUGAAUAAGAAUCGUGAAGCCCCACAAGAAAUUUCAUUACUUAGUUUGAUUGCUGUCUAUCAGUCAAGUCCUUCAAAAUAUUACAAGAACAACGAUUAAGGUUCCCACAUCUGCAACUGGGAAUAGGACGAUAGCUAAUGUAUUCAUCCCAUAAAGCCUUGAAUUCACUAAAAUAUUCAGUGAUAGAUUUCGAAUUUUGAGAAAUGGAACUUAAGGAUUUUUCCAGGGAGAAAACCCUUGGUCCAUCACUUUUGAGAUAUUUGAUUUUCAGCUCCUCCCAGAUAUCAAAAGCAUUUGUGAAAUAGAGAAGACUACCACGGAUUUCUUUGGCAAUUGAAUUCAUUAGCCAAGACAGGACAAGAUUAUUGGCUCUUAGCCAAGCAACACGAAGAUGAGGAUCAUUAGUGAUCGGUUGAACCAGAGAACCAUCAACAAAUGCAAUUUUAUUUUUCACUGUUAGAGCAAUUGACAUAGAUCGACUCCAUGCAAUAUAAUUCUCACCAGUGAAUAUCUCGGAAACCAGAAGUGCACCAGGAUUAUUAGAUGGAUGUAAGUAAUAGGAGUUGGAUGAAUCAUCUGAAAGAUUCUGUACAGGUCCAUUUGAUGAAUGAGAGUUAGCCAUAGAAGCAUGUUCUUCCUCAGUCAUUGUGAAGUAACAAUCAACCAGGAAAGAUGAAGAAGAAUCAAGAAAGAUCAAGAAAGAUCAAGAACAACGGAAAAUAUGAAGCUCUGAUACCAUGUGAAGAUAUGCAGAAUUGUAAGGAAAACAGAGAAGAAAACAGAGGAGCACUCAAACCUGUAUUGAAACUGAAAUUCUCCUUACAUUCAGAUGAGAUAAAAAUGUACAGGUGAGGUCUAUUUAUACACUUGAAAUGGAUCAAUAAAGCUGUUAAGUAUUGACAACUGGCAUAACUAAUUUAACUGACAUUAGUUAGAUGAAUUCUGUUUGGCUAUUUGUGAUUUUAACUCUAAUUCAUCUAUCAGAUUUUGGAUAUUCCAACAUCCAUUAUGAUGAAAUUUAGAACUACUUAUAUUUCCAUUCAAAUGGAAAAUGAUAUUACCAGCUAAAAUCUUUGUACUUUACCAUGAACAUCAAAAUUUCCAGCUUCCACAGAUUAUGUCAAUCAAAUAAUAACAAUUAUACCAGUAUUUAAUCAUCAUCAUCGUCUUGAACUGCAGGGGCAUAGAAGUUCCAAGAGACUGCAAAGAUGUAUGCAUGAUGUAUGAAUAAAUUGAAGAGUGGAGAGGUUACCAUCACAGCCAGAAAGUGAAGGAAGAUGCUCCAAAAGGAAAAUCUCAGGUUCAUUUUUCUUCUUUUCUGGGAAAUCCUUUCUUCUUCAUCUUCUCCUUCUGGUAAGACAACAAAGAGACCAACAGAACUAGUUAGCAAACAAAGGAGCAUUCAAUCGAAUACCACAAGGGCAAAUUCAUAUUACAUCUGAGAGUAGUAAGGAGUUGAAGCCAGACGGCUUCCUCAAAGAAAUGAUGCCUUUGAUCACCUAGGCCAAAGCCAAUUAGGCAAAACUUAAACAAUCCAUAGAUUCUACAAUAUGAAAUUAAAUCCACGGAAGCUUUUGAUAAUUCAAGGAAACAGAAAGUGGGGUUUUGAAAUUACAAUUGAAUAGUUUUACUUGUGAAGAUUUUAUUUAGAUUUCCUCUGUGAGAAUACUUUUGACAGCAACGUUGUUUCUAUUAAAAGUGUUUUUAAUUAAAGUAUUUUAGGAAAAAUAGUUUAUCAAUUGUUUUCUCAUAAAAUAUCAUAAAUAAUUUUUUUAACUAUUUAAAAAUGUUUUUUAAAUUUUAUAAAAUGUUCGAAUUUUCUUCAAAAGUGCUUUAUAUAUUAGAAGGGUUUUUCUAAAAAUAUAGUCAAACAAAUUUUAAAAGUUUUUCUUAAUAUACAUACUUUUAAAAAUCCCAAGAAUCACUUUUAAAAAUCACAUUUUUAAAAUCACUUUCAAAAAAUGAUACAAAUAAAAACCCUUUUAGCAAAAUUACUCUGAAAUAAACUUUUGUUUUAAUUAAAUAUACAUUGAUAUUCCACUCCAACAUGGUGUUCUGCUGCUUAGCAAAUAUAUUGACAAAACCAUAUGAGAAAGAUGAGAUUGGUAAGCGUCAAAUUUCAAAUGUAAGCAUGACUUUGAGAGAAUUGAUAAAAAAAUAACCUUUGAAGAUGUUAAUCCCAUCAACUAUGAACUUCAAGGAUGAGUAUAUAUAUCCCGUCAAUUAUGCAAAAUUUAAGGAAUUUAAAUGUGAAACCUAUAAAUUUUAGACCAUAUUCGAUAAUUAUUAUUGAAAAUAGUUAUGAACAACAGUUUUGAAAACCAUAUUCUUAUGUUUUGUAGAAUAAAUGUCUAUUUGAGAAUAUGAAAUAUUUUAAUUUUUUUUUUUAUAUUUUAAAAUAAUUUUUAUAUAUGUACUUUACUUUUAAUUAUUAUUUAUAUUUGUAUAAUUAUUUUUUUAAAAUAGCUCUUCAAAAGUAAGUGAAAUAACUAAAACAUGUUCUCUAAAAACCUUUUUAUUUAUUGAUUUUUAGUUGUUAAAUGUGUUUUAUUAUUUUUUUUGUUCUGAAAAAAAAUAUAUUUAAAAAAUGGUUCUAAAAAAUAAUUUUUGAGAACAAUUUUAAAAAAUUAAAAGGUGUAUUUGAGAACUUAAAAACGUUUUUAACUUGUUUUUUAACUUUUAUAUGUAGAAUUUUGUUUUUAAUCAUUUUUCAUAUUUGUAUAAUAAUUUUUUAAAAUGAUUUUUAUAAAAUAAAUGAAAAUAAUUAAAAAAUAUCUUCUUUUUUUUCCUUUUUAAAAUGAAAAAACCGUUUUUUAAAAUAGUUAUCAAACAAUCCGUUGCUUCUGAACUCUAAACAAGCUGAACAGUGAAGCACCAAUCCGAGGCCAAACCAACCCAUCUCUACUGCUAGCUGGGUGGGGCACAGAAGCAAUUUUUUAGGAUUAGAUGGGCUAGGCAUGGCUCUUUGAUAAUUUCUCUAGCAAUUCAGGUUCAGUUAAAGCAUGGUCUACAAGCAGACCAUCCCUCGAUAAUUUCUAACAAUUAUGAAAGACAUGGGUAUUUGCUUCUGAUUCUCUCUGGAUUCGGGCCUGCUGCCACCCAUCCGAAAGAGAGAGGAUUAAAAAAAAUGCAAAGGAGAUAUGAAUUGCUAGAAAACAAAAACAAUAAUGGAACACUAAUAUUUUUUUUUAAGUAAAAGGGCAUCCAAUAAUAGGAACAUGAUGUGGGGUGGACAGACCCAACCUAUUGAUUAAUUUGGAGGAAUGAUUUCAGAUCGAGGGAGGGAUAAUUAUUUUAUUCAAAGUUUGUUACUUCAUUCAAUGAAUUCUUGAAUCAUUAUUUGAUUGAGAUUCAAGACUCCAUCGAUCGGCCGACACCCUUUUUGUUAAAUAUUGAAAAGACAUUUUAUAUUCUCAAUAACAUGAUGCCACAUUCGAGUAAUACACCAAUUUUAUUUGUUUAUAUCUUUAUAUCUUAAUCUUAUUUAUCUGCAUCAUCAUCCAAUUAUUAACUAUUCAAAUUUAGACUUUUAUAAGUACCAUUGUACAAUUCUUUAGCAUUUUCUUGAAAUUCAAUUGAUAUUACAAACUAUAAAAUCAUUAUUUUCUCUCAUGGAAAUAAAAAAAAAUUAUAACUUCACAUCAUUUUCCUCAAUUGCAAGGGUAUAAGGAUGAACUAGUAAGUAUGAAGUGAAAUUGAAGGAGAUUAUUCAUAGUCUAAGAAAAUUGCAAGGGAAGUUUUUUAAUAAUAAAUUAGUGGUGCCAAAGAUUUUACCCUUUCUAUACUUCAAAUCCAAACAAAUUUUUUAAUCAUAAAUAUGAAUAAAGAUUUUGCUUUAAAUUUCCACGAGAUCUUGAAUCCCAUCCGCUAUAUUUUUAAUUAGGCAUAUGUUGAUGUGUGACUCAAACAUUUUGCCUACAAACGCUUGGAAAAAACAAGGGCAUAAAACAUGGUUGGUAAGUUGUCAAAUCUUCAAAAAUAUAUCCAGGGUCUUUGUUGUAUAUUUAUUUUAAUUUUUUUAGUAAAAAGGAUUGGAUUUAUAAAAGUAAUCAUUCAUGUGAGACAUGGAACGUGGUUGUCAUGGUUUUACUAUUAUAUAUAUAUAUAUAUAUAUAUAUAAAUUAUUUGACGUGCUUCUUUUGAUUUAUUUAUUUCCCUUUCUAGCAAAGAAUUUUAAAACUUAUAAGGUUUUUUACUAACCUUUAUCAUAUUUGAUUUUUCUUUAUAUUUUUAAUAACAUUGAGAUUUUGAUUUGCUUCCCACUUUUCUCUAUUCCAUAUUAUUUGUCACAAUUCUAAUGGAAUCAAGAAGUAAUUGUUUUUGUGAAAAUUGUUUUUUGAAAUAUUAAUCAUAGAGACAUAUACAAAGUCUAAUUCAAUCGAUUAUUAAGUAGGAUGUUUUAAUUAUUAAAUGAAUUAAAUGAGUUAUAUGAUGUGUUACAUGUCUAGUAAUUAGGUAGUAUAUGAGUUUAUAUUAUUAACACUAUUAUUAUUGUGUCGGGUUUGGGUUAAAAUAUCAAGACUUUGACAUGACGGGAAAAUUGUAACCCAUAAGUUAGCCGCACAUUACCUAUUUUCUGAAGUUAAAAACAAAAACACUUUCUAACCUCAAUUCUUCUACUAGUAUUUAGUUGAAAAAUUCAUACGAGAAUGUUUUAACAUUACUUGGUCUUGUCAUGGCUCUUACACUUAAUCUUCACAUCAUUUGCCCACCACCAGUGUUGAUAUCUUCAAUGCAUUAUUGAAGGCCGGCCAACAAGAAUUGCACAUCAUGAUAUGAUCAAUAUGCAUUAUUGAAGGCCAACUUGAACCUUAAGGUUAAUCCUUAUUAGCUAUAUGUGUGGUUUUCUUGUACUGCUUAUCUAUCUAUCUAUAUAAAUAGUAAGUGGAGUCUCAAUUCAAAUAACAGAAACAAAGUUAGUGUUUUCAGAUUGAGGAUAUGGCUUCUUCCUUGGCUUUCUUCACUAUUUUCUCACUUCUCUUGGUGAGCAUUUCUAAGAGGCAAAACUGAAACCAAUUGAUUAUGAACUCAGGAAGAUUUUGAAUAUGAAUUUGUAUGGUUUAAUAAUUCUUACAAGUUCUAACAUAUUUUUCUCUUAUUUUGUGAGCAGGUGGGCAAUGCAAUAGGUGGAAGAAAAGAGCCUGGGGUAUACUGGAGGGAUGUUAUGAAGGAUGAGCCCAUGCCAAAAGCAAUCCAAGGCCUUCUCCCUGAAGAUCAAUCAUCUUCUCUCUUAAGCAAGAAACCCAACUGUCAGACAAUUCCAGGGGCAAGAAAUGGGGGUGAUAUUGUCAAGGGUUUUGAGCCUAAAAAAGAGAAGGUUUUCUGGGUUUAUGAUGAUGAGGAUGCUAAACUCACAGAAGAGAAAUCAUUUGUUAAGGACCUUGAGCCCAGGACUAAUGUCUCAGCCUAGCAUGAUAAAGGUGCUACUAAAGAAGAGAAGGAGAAGCCAUUUGUGGGUGACUUUGAACCUAGGCCUAAUGUUUCUGCUUAUAAUGAAUAAGUGGAACAGAAACCAUGAAUAUUAUUCAUUAGGUAAGAAAUAGAGUGCCAUUGGUAGUGAUUAUAAAAAAUAUUUCUAGCAUUUCAAACACUUGAAUGAUAAAAAAAUUUAAAUAUUAAAAAUGUUGGAAACACUUUCUAAAAUUAUUAUCAAAUGAGCUUAUAAUUAGAAGCCCCUAGUGUUUAAUGUUUGUAUUGGAAUUGAUGUGAAGUGUGUGAAAUGAUUUAAUAAGAGUUGUACCACUUGGUUUGACUUAUUACAAGUUGGUAUUAUAUACCUAGAAAUGAUUAUGACUUUAAGAGAUCUUGAAGAUUAUUCAAGAUUUGGGUUUUUUCAUUUUUCUUUAAUUAGAUUUCAUAAAUGAUUUUUUAACUAUUUAAAAAUGUUUUUAAAAUUUUAUAAUUAGAAGUGUUUUUCUAAAAAUAUUGCAAACAAACUCUAAAGGUUUUUCUUAAUAUAUACUUUUAAAAAUCUAAAGAAUCACUUUUAGAAAUCACAUUUUUAAAAUCACUUUCAAAAAAUGAUACAAAUAAAAACCCUUUUACCAAAAUUACUCUAAAACAAACUUUUGUUUUAAUUAAGUAUAUAUUGAUAUUCCAUUCCGUGUUCUGUUGCUUAACAAACAUAUUGAUAAAACCAAGCUAGAAAGAUGAGGUUGGUAAGCAUCAAAUCUCAAAUGUAACCAUGACUUUUGAGAGGAUUGAUAAAAAAGCGCCUUUGAAGAUGGUAAUCCCAUCAACUAUAAACUUCGAGGAUGAAUAUAUAUCCCAUCAACUAUUCAAAAUUUAAGGAAUUUAAAUGUGAAACCUAGGUGAAAAUUUUAGACCAUUUUCGGUAAUUAUUGUCAAAAAUAGUUUUAAACAACAAUUUUAAAAACCAUAUUCUUAUGUUUUGUAAAAUAAAUGUUUAUUUGAGAAUAUGAAAUAUUUUAAACUUAUUUUCUAUAUUUUAAAAUAAUUUUUUAAAAUAUAUCUAUAUGCUUUAUUUUUAAUUAUUUUUCAUAUUUGUAUAAUUAUUUUUUUAAAUAACCCUAAAAAAUUAAGUGAAAAUAACUAAAACAUGUUAUCUAAAAACGCUUUUAUUUGUUGUUUUCGGGUUGUCAAAUAUGUUUUUUUUAUCUAAAAAAAGAAAAGUGUUUUGAAAAUGGUUAUGAAAUUUUCGAUAAUAGUUUUUAAAACUCAUUCUUUAAUAUUUUAUAGAAUAAAUGACUAAAUAUUUGUCUGAGAAGUUAAAAUGUUUUUUACUUAUUUUUUAUAUUUUAAAAAUAACUUUUAUAUGUAGAAUUUUAUUUAUAAUCAUGUAGACAUGAAAAAAAUUAGUGGAUUAAAUUACCACUAAUGUCUUCAAAAUGAAUAAAUUUAAAAUAUAUAUAUAUAUAUAUAUAUAUAUAUAUAUAUAUCCUCGAUAAGUUUUCCUAAUAUCCAACUAUAAAACAGAUAAUAAUAAUAAUAAUAAGAAAAUCUUCUUCUCCGAAAAGUUUUACCAACACGAUAAUAAUAAUAAUAAUAAUUUUCUUCUUAUUAUUAUUAUCCUUUUUAUAAUUGAAGAUUAAGAAAACUUAUCUAUAAGAGGAUAUAUUUAUUUAUAUAUAUAUAUAUAUAUAUAUAUAUAUAUAUAUAUAUAUAUAUAUAUAUUAAAUUUAUUCAUUUUGAAAGACCAAAUUAUUAGUAAUUUAAUCCAUUAAUUUUUUUAUAUCUAUAAAUCGUUUUUCAUAUUUGUAUGAUAAAUUUUUAAAAUGAUAUUUAAAAAAUAAGUAAAAAUAACUGAAAAAUUGUUAUUAAAAAAUAUUUUAUUUUAGUACUUAAUCUUUCUCCUUUUGAACUCCAAACAAGCUGAACAGUGAAGCACCAAUCCGAGGCCAAACCAACCCAUCUCUACUGCUAGCUGGGUGGGCACAGAAGCAAUUUUUUAGGAUUAGAUGGGCUAGGCAUGGCUCUUCGAUAAUUUUUCUAGAAAUUCAGGUUCAGUUAAAGCAUGGUCUACAAGCAGACCAUCCCUUGAUAAUUUCCAACAAUUAUGAAAGACAUGGGCUUUUGCUUCUGAUUCUCUCUGGAUUCGGACCUGCUGCCACCCAUCUGAAAGAGAGAGGAUUAAAAAAAUGUAAAGGAGAUAUGAGUUGCUAGAAAACAAGGACGUCCCAGCUUUAUAAGCCAGAAAACAAAAACAAUAAUGGAACACUAAUAUUUUUUUAAGUAAAAGGGCGCGCAUCCAAUAAUAGGAACAUGACGUGGGUUGGGCAGACUCAACCUAUUGAUUAAUUUGGAGGAAUGAUUUCAGAUCGAGGGAGGGAUCAUUAUUUUAUCCAAAAAUUUGUUACUUCAUUCAAUGAACUCUUGAAUCAUUAUUUCAUCGAGAUUCAAAACUCCAACAAUCAUAUCGACCGACACCCUUUUUGUUAAAUAUAAAAAAGACGUUGUCAAUGAUAUAAUAAUCAUCAUAACCUUACAAUUAUUUAUCAUCACACACACAGAUAGAUAUAUAUGUCAGAAUAAUUAGCAAAACCUGAUCCCUCCACUACCAUUAUAAACCCUAAAAAAAUCUCAUAAUUAUAGUUUUAGCAUAUAUGUUGCACUGCAAACUUUUCGAAAAAGAUAAAAUAAAAUUCAGGUCACCAAACUUUAACAAAAAUUCAUAGCUUCUCAUCAUCGUCCUCAACUACAAGGAUAUAAGGAUGAAACUGAUAGGUAUAAAGUGAACUCCAAGAAGACCGUUCAUAGUUCAAGAAAAUUGAAAGGGAAGUUUUCUAAUCAUAAAUUAGUGGUGCCAAAGAUUUUACCUUUGCUUUCCAUGAUACUUCAAAUCCUAACUAUUUUUUUAAUAAAAAAUAUGAAUAAAGACUUGGCCUUAGAUUUCCACAAGAUCUGGUAUAUUUUUAAUUAGGCAUAUCUUGAUACGUGACUCAAAACAUUUUGCCUGCAAAAGCUUGAAAAAAACGAAGGCACAAAAUAUAGUUGGUAAGCUGUCAAAUCUUCGAGCAUAUAUUCAGGCAUUGGGUCUCUGUUAUUUAUUUAUUUUAAUUUUUUUAGUGAAAACGAUUGGAUUUAUAAAAGUAAUCAUUCAUGUGGAGGCAUGGAACGUGUUUGUCAUGGUUUUACUAUUAUAUAUAUAUAUAAACAUAAUUAAAAUUAUCUAGAACCUUUUGUAUUUUAAAUUAUUUAAUUUUUAUAUCAAAUUUUAAAAUAAAUCUUAAUUAAUAUAUAUAUAUUUGUUAGAUCCUUAAGAUUUGAGAAAAAGAAAAGGAGAAAAUAUAAGGAAAAGAUUUAAUAAAUUAUUUGACGUGGUUCUUUUGAUAUAUUUCUGUCCCUUUUUUUAACAAAGAAUUUUCUUUGUAUUUUUAACAAUAUUGAGAUUUUGAUUUGUUUCCCACUUUUAAUUUCUCUAUUCCAUUUUACUUGUCAUAAUCCAAAUAAAACCAAGAAGUAAAUAUUUUUGUGAAAAUUGUUUUAAUUUUGAAACAUUAAUCAUAUAAACAUAUACAAAAUCUAAUUCAAUCCGAUUAUUAAGUAGAAGAAUUUAAUUAUUAAAUGAAUGAAAUGUGUUAUAUGCAUAUUACCUAUCUAGUAAUGAAGCAAUAUUUGAGUUUAUAUUUUUAACAAUAGUAUUAUUGUGUCGGGUUUGGGUUGAUAUAUGUCAUUGAAUAUCAAGACUUUGACAUGACAUGAAAAUUGUAACCCCUAUGUUAGCUUUCUCCUUAUGAAGUUCAAACAAGCUGAACAGUGAAGCACCAAUCCGAGGGCAAACCAACCCCAUUCUACUGCUAGCUUUGGUGGGCACAGAAGCAAUUUUUUAGGAUUAGAUGGGCUAGGCAUGGCUCUUCGAUAAUUUUUCUAGAAAUUCAGGCUCAGUUAAAGCGUGGUCUACAACAGACCAUCCCUUGAUAAUUUCCAACAAUUAUGAAAGACAUGGGCAUUUGCUUCUGAUUCUCUCUGGAUUCGGGCCUGCUGCCACCCAUCUGAAAGAGAGGAUUAAAAAAAUGCAUAGGAGAUAUGAGUUGCUAGAAAACAAGGACGUCCCAGCUUUAUAAGCUAGAAAACAAAAACAAUAAUGGAACACUAAAAUUUUUUUAAGUAAAAGGGCGCGCAUCCAAUAAUAGGAACAUGAUGUGGGGUGGGCAGACCCAACCUAUUGAUUAAUUUGGAGGAAUGAUUUCAGAUCGAGGGAGGGAUCAUUAUUUUAUCCAAAAAUUUGUUACUUCAUUCAAUGAAGUCUUGAAUCAUUAUUUCAUCGAGAUUCAAAACUCCAGCAAUCAUAUCGACCGACACCCUUUUUGUUAAAUAUAAAAAAGACGUUGUCAAUAUAAUGUCACAUAUAUAUAUAUUUUCAAGUUCAGUAAUAUACGACAUUUUUAUUAGUUUAUUUUCUUUCAUGGAAAUAAAAAAGUUGAUACUAGAUCACAAGAAUAAGUAAUAAAAAAAUACAAUAAAAACACACAAAUUUACGUAAAAAAAACCUUAGACAGGAAAAACUAUAGAUAAAAAUAUAGAAAAUCUAUAAUAUAAAAAAAUUGGUAUAAAAAAGGAGAGUUGUGAACGGUUAUAAUAAAAACAUAAUCAUCAUAACCCUACAACUAUAUAUCAUCACACACACACACACACAAUAUAUAUAUAUAUAUAUAUAUAAAUAAUUAGUAAACCCCGAUCCCUCCACUACCAUUAUAGACCAAAAAAAACAAAUCUCAUAAUUAUAGUUUUAUCAUAUAUGUUGCACUGCGAGCUUUUCGAGUCGAAUAAAAUAAAAUUCAAGUCACCAAAUUCUAACAAAAAUUUAUAGCUUCUCAUCAUCGUCCUCAACUACAAGGGUAUAAGGAUGAAACUAAUAGGUAUGAAGUGAACUCCAAGAAAAGUAUUCAUAGUUCAAGAAAAUUGCAAGGAAAAUUUUCUAAUCAUAAAUUAGUGGUGCCAAAGAUUUUACCUUUGCUUUCCAUGAUACGUCAAAUCCUAAUUAUUUUUUUAAUCAUAAAUAUGAAUAAAGACUUGGCCUUCGAUUUUCACAAGAUCUUGAAUCUCAUCCAGUAUAUUUUUAAUUAGGCAUAUGUUGAUACGUAACUCAAAACAUUUUGGUUGCAAAAGUUUGGAAAAAACGAAAGCACAAAACAUAGUUGGUAAGCCAUCAAAUCUAGGCAUCGGGUUUUUGUUAUUUAUUUAUUUUUAUUUUUUUAGUGAAAAUGAUUGAAUUUAUAAAAGUGAUAAUUCAUGUGGAGGCAUGGAACAUGUUUGUCACGGUUUCACUAUUAAAUAUAAUAUAUAUAUAUAUAUAUAUAAACAUAAUUAAAAUUAUCUAGAACCUUCUAUAUUUUAAAUUAUUUAAUUUUUAUAUCAAAUUUUAAAAUAAAUAAAAUAAAUUUUAAUAUAUAUAUAUAUAUAUAUAUUUUGUUAGAUCCUUAAGAUUUGAGAAAAAGAAAAGGAGAAAAUAUAAGGAAAAUAUUUAAUAAAUUAUUUGACGUGGUUAUUGCGAUGUAUUUAUGUCCCUUUUUUAGCAAAGAAUUUUCUUUGUAUUUUUAAUAAUAUUGAGAUUUUGAUUUGUUUCCCAUUUUUCUCUAUUUCAUAUUACUUGUCAUAAUCCAAAUAAAACUGAGAAGUAACUAUUUUUGUGAAAAUUAUUUUAAUUUUGAGACAUUAAUCAUAUAAACAUAUACAAAAUCUAAGUCAACCUGAUUAUUAAGUAGAAGAAUUUAAUUAUUAAAUGAAGGAAAUGAGUUAUAUGAUGUAUUACCUGUCUAGUAAUGGAAGAGUAUUUGAGUUUAUAUUUUUAACAUUAGUAUUGUUGUGUUGGGUUUGAGUUGAUAUAUGUCAUAGAAUAUCGAGACUUUGACACGACGUGAAAAUUGUAGCCCCUAAGUUUGUUGCACAUUACCUAUUUUCUGACGUUAGAAACAAGAACACUUUCUAACCUCAAUUCUUCUACUAAUAUUUAGUUGAAAAAUUCAUACGAGAAUGUUUUAACAUUACUUGGUCUUGUCAUGGCUCUUACACUUAAUCUUCACAUCAUUUGCCCAACACCACAUUGUUGACAUCUUCAAUGCAUUAUUGAAGGCCAACAAAAAUUGCACAUCAUGAUAUGAUCAAUAUACUUUAUCCAAGGCCAACUUGAACCUUAAGGUUAAUCCUUCUUAGCUAUAUGUUUGGUUUUCUUGUACUUCUUAUCUAUCUAUCUAUGUAAAUAGUAAGUGGAGCCUCGAUUCAAAUAACAGAAACAAAGUGUUUGCAGAUUGAGGAUAUGGCUUAUUCCUUGGCUUUCUUCACUAUUUUCUCGCUUCUCUUGGUGAGCAUUUCUAAGAGGCAAACUGAAACCAAUUGAUUAUGAACUCAGGAAAAUUUUGACUAUGAAUUUGUAUGGUUUCAUAAUUCUUACAAGUUCCUACAUAUUUUUCUCUUAAUUUGUGAGCAGGUGGGCAAUGCAAUAGGUGGAAGAAAAGAGCCUGGGGAAUAUUGGAGAGAUGUUAUGAAGGAUGAGCCCAUGCCAAAAGCAAUCCAAGGUCUUCUCCCUGAAGAUUAAUCAUCUUCUCUCUCAAGCAAGAAACCCAACUGUCAGACAACUAUAGAGGCAAGAAAUGGGGAUGAUGUUGUCAAGGGUUUUUGUUGAGGCCCCGCGUUCCUGGUGAUCCAUGUAGUUGCCAAAUGAAUGGGCGCACGAUCUCAACCACUAUAAGUUCCUGGUUCAAUCGUUCUUGCAAAAUACGUCUGAACAGGGUAUCCGGACGCACCCUUCGAUGGUUUUGUUAGCCAUGGUUCAGAGAGAUAAAUCAGUUGGCUUUUUAUUAGGUAUAACAAACUUACCUUCCUCUUUAUGUGAAGGUUCAUAUAUAUCGUCUCAGAAGCUCUGUCUCCCUCUUUAAUGAUAGGGAGAUAUUUUGGCUUGACAUGAUGCCUCUAAGUGGUGACAAAGCCAUCAUCACCCUACGGGCGGCUGCCAGAGAUCGUGGGGGGCGUCGCAGAUGUCAGAGAUUGUGGGAAGUGACUUGUUGUCAUUCCUGUCCUUUCACUCUACAGGUGGCGGAACGUGGGCCGUGACAGGCUGUCAGAAUGGCGUAGCAAGACUUGCUUACUUUAGUCAAUGAUCUGGACAAACAUAUUUGGAUAGGGUAUGUAGGUCUUCCGGAUGUAAUAUAACGAUCGUCCGGAUGUGAUGUUUGCGAGUGUCGUGUGCUUCUCUCUGAGGAAGUUCGGAUAGGAGAAGCGUGCCACGUGUCUCCUUUGGGGGAGAUCCGGAUGGAGCUAAUACGGAUGGAAAUGUGUGCCACGUGGCAUCAGGGAGAUCCGGAUGGAGCUAAUCCGGAUGAAAAUGUGUGCCACGUGGCAUCAGGGGGAGGGGUCCCUACAGUUUUGAGCCUAAAAAAGAGAAGGUUUUCUGGGUUUAUGAUGAUGAGGAUGCUAAACUCACAGAAGAGAAAUCAUUUGUUAAGAACCUUAAGCCCUGGACUAAUAUCUCAGCCUACCAUGAUAAAGGUGCUACCAAAGAAGAGAAGCCAUUUGUGGGUGACUAUGAACCUCGGCCUAAUAUUUCUGCUUACAAUGAGUAAGCGAAAAUGCUUGUAUUGGAAUUGAUGUGAAGUGUGUGAGAUGAUUUAAUAAAAGUUGUGCCUGGUUUCUGACUCAUUACAAGUUGGUAUUUUGCAUACUAUAUAUAUUAAUUAAAUACCUAGAAAUGAUUAUGACUUUCGGAGAUCUUGAUGAUUAUCCAGGAUGUGGGUUUUUGCUUUUUUCAUUUGUUGGAUGUGGCUUUUUUGGAUUAUCCAAGUUGAUCGAGAAAUUCCAUAGUACAGAACAACCAUUGAAUACUAUAAAUCUUCUCUCAGAGCACUUAACUAGCAUCUUCAUACUUCAGCUACACACCUUCUUUAAGUCAAUAACAUAUAUACUUAGAAUCAAUGCCAAGCAAGAUCUCAACCACUUCUUGAUGCCCAAUCAAGAAGAAAGCUGUGAGUUUUACCCCAAUCCAAAACGACAAUGAUGAUAAGGAUAGAAGAAAAAGAUGAAUCAAUUUCCCGAGAAAGGAACACUCAAAUUUUGGAAAAACAAUGAGGAGCACAAAGGGAAGGUAGAUGAUGACUAUUGUGUUUCCCUAACCCUUUGGAGAUUAAGAUAUAAACUAUUCACAGAAGCAACAGUUUGUCAUUAGCUCUUAGGUGCAACCUUGGUCUCCAUAUCAGUGAGUUAAUGUAACAUAAUUUGAUAAAUUUUCUAGCAAUUAAAGGUGGUGUUUGUUUUUUUACUUAAUUCUAAACAGAACCUUAAUACUUAAUAGUGUUAAAUAUUAGAUUGUUUAUUUUUGUAGUAUUUUAUUUUUAUUAAGUAUUAAAAAGUAAAAAAAAUCAAUAUGUUAUUUUUUCUAUUUAGAAAAAGUUACAUAUUUUGAUUUUUUUUUUAUUUAGUAAAAAGUUUAUAAUAAGUCAUAAAAAAGUAGAAAAACAAACAACAUAAAUUCUAAAAACAAAUUGCUUUCAGCAAAAAGAAAAAAAAAAACAAACACCACCAACCCUCUUUGGCAACAGUUUUUUAGAACAACAUUCCAUUUUGCAAAAAAAAAAUAAAAACAUAGGUUAGACCACCAAAAAAUUAUUUUUUGUUUUCUAUUCUUCAAAAUAGAAAAAUUAUUUUCAAAAAAUAUCUUUUAGUUGUUUUAAGUUGUUUUCAUUUGUUUUUUAAUAACUCUUUUUAAAAAAAUUAUAUAAAUAUGAAAAAUGAUUAAAGAUAAAACACUUGAUAUAAAAAUUAUAUUUAAAAAUUUUAAAAAUAAGUUAAAAACAUUUCAAGUUCUCAAAUAAAAUAUUUGUUCUACAAAAUAUUCGAGAAUGAUUCUCAAAAAUUAUUUUCAAAAAACAUCUUUUAGUUGUUUUAAGUUGUUUUUCAUUUAUUUUUUAAGAGUUAUUUUUAAAAAGAAUUAUAUAAAUAUAAAAAAUGAUUAAAAAUAAAAUACUUGUAUGAUAUAAAAAAUAUUUUUAAAAUAUAUCUAAAAAUAUUAAAAAUAAAUUAAAAACAAUUCAAAUUUUCAAACAAAAUAUUUGUUCUACAAAAUAUUAGAGAAUGAUGCUCAAAAAUUAUUUUCACCAAACAAGACAAAGUUCGGUUAGAACAUGGUCGACAACAAUCCCAUCCCGUGAUCAUUUUAAACAAUUAUGAAAAGCAUGAUUUAUUUUUCUUCUAAUUUUAUAUGGAUUCGGUUUGUUGCCACCCUCCAAAAGACAGAAGAUUAGAAAAAUACCAAGUGAAUAGCUAGAAAACAAGGACAUGCCAGCUUUAUAAGCUAGAAAAUAAAAAUAAUAAUGAAACACCUAUCUUUUUCAUCUAAUAAUAGGAGGAAGUGCGGUAGGUAGAUCCAAUCAAUUGAAUAAUUUGAGAUGAAUGUAGGGAUCAUUAUUUCAUUGAAAUUGAAAUGGAGCUAUAUAUAUAUAUAUAUGAAAAAGAUAAAAUAAAAAAAACGUGUUUCCACGAUUAAUAUAAUUUCUACAAUCACACAGUGUAUUAAUACUAAAAAAUUAAUAAAUUGAAAGAAACAAGAAGGGUCACAAUGGUAAAACUCUCAAAAAAGAUUUUUCAAUUAUGUCUGUAUUGUCUAAAAAAAUAAAACCUUAAAAUUUAAGAUGUUAAAUAUAUAAUAGGGGUAAAUUCACCAUUCAUUAUAUAGAAGAGUUACAUCGCUCUCCACAAGCUCAACGGGAAGCUCGACUCCUACCAUCUUGAGUGAAAUACAUAACAUAUAUAUGACAACAAAGAGACUACCUACAUAAUUUAAUUCAUAAGAGGGUCAAUCAAAGUAUUUAUCUAAUGUAAAAACCUUUAUUAGAAAUAAUACAAUUUCACCAAAACUAAGAAGAAGCAAACUUCAAAUAAUCUAUGAAUUCCAAUGUCAAUUUCAACGAGAGUAAAUGAUUAUUUAAGAAAAUUACAAUGAAAAUCUUUAAAUCAUAAACAAUUAUUUUUAAAAUUUUUAGUGAAGUGUUAUUUGGAUGUAUUUAUUGUUUUUUAUUUUUAAAAUAUUAUAUAAAACAACUCUUAUAUAAAAUACAAAAAUUCAUAAAAUCUUAUUUUGAUAGGAUAAUAUAAGAGUUUCUAUAUUGUUAUUUUAUACAGAAGUUUUUACUAUUUUUUUUUCUUUUUAAAAAGGAAAAAAACAUAAUCUGAUUCUGAUCCACUUGAUCCUAAAGUUGGCCUGGUGCCAAUAUUCUAUGUAGAAAAUUUGGUUUGAGAGCCCUUUUCCUACAGGUAAUACUUUAGCAUUACGUGGGGACCUUGGUUUGCAUGAAAGCAAAGGGUUGGUCACAUAUCUAGCAAAAGGUUGUUUUUUUCACUUAAAUCUAAAUAAAAUUUAAUUUAACUUAAUUUUAAAUACAACUUAAUACUAUUAAAUAUUUAGUUAUUCUUUUUAUUAUUUUAUUUAUAUUAAAUAUUUCGUAUUAAAAGGGUGAAGGAUGUGUUAAAAUUGUGUUUUGGUUGUUUCAAAAAGACAUUUUUACCAUUCAAUAAAAAGUUAAAUAUUUUGACUUUUUCUAUUCAAUCAAAAUUUUAAAAAAAUAAGUAACAAAUAAAUAAAAAAGUUAAAAACAAAUGAUCUAAAAUUUAAAAACAAAUUGGAUUUAACAUUAAGUUAAAAAACAAACACCACCAUAAAUUGUCUACACAACAUUGAAUUGAUCAUAUAAUAUAAUGCUUAAAUAGGGUUUUGGCUCGACCUUUUCUAGCAAAUUAUGGUUAGUUAGAGCAUUGGUCUUUACCAAGCCUACCCAUGAAUAUGAUAGCAUAGACGUGAGAAGUUCUCUUUUUUCUUUUCACUUUUUAGCGGAGGUUACUAUAAAAUUCAACUUAAUUUUAUUUUAACUUUUUUUUUUUUUGUAAAUAUAAAUGUUUGUUAAUCUCACUAGAAGAUUGUACCAUACCACCAUGGUAUGUUAUUGUUUGAGAUGUUACAAACUUACAACAUACCAACAACCUUUAUAAUAUUUUUUGCUUGGGAUUCUCUUGUCUCGUUUAGGUAUGGCCCAUAUGGAAGGAAACGAAAAAGCUGAAGGGCAUGACAGCCCUAUAUGCUAGAAAACAAGAUGAUCAUGGAAAAUCUCUCUUCCAUUAUUAACGAAAGCAAUCAUGAAAAUAGUAAGUGGGGGCGGAGAAAGUGAAAUGGGCUUAAAAAAAAAAUGUGGUCGCCUUUUCAAAAAUGCUACUUUCCAAAUCGGUGGAACCACAUUUAUAUCAGAUAACAAAAUCACACAAAUAUGAGAUUAAGUAGGGUUGCAAUGUCUUGUACUUUGUUUGUGGACAAUUUUGUUCUUUUUUUUUGUUAUGAUUUAUGAAUCUUUUUAGACAAUAACUUGUUCUUCGUUAAAUAUUUGAUGUGAACUCUUUUAUCAUAAUAUUUUUAAAUAUACCCAUUCAAUCCCCUUUGAGUGUUACCCUCUUGGACAAUAGUUUUUCAAGUAUAACAAAUGGAAUCAAGAUACAAAAUAAUGAGAUCUCAUAUAUGAUACAAAUGGACAAGAGUUUGAAAAUAAAGACAUGAAACCCUAUUUGUACUCAUAAGAUUAUUUUAAGCAAAAAUAUCAUUCAAUAUUGUAAUAAGAUCUUAUCUUUCAUCUUGAUUAGAAUUAAUUAAGAUACAGAGAGAUAAGAUCAAGAUAAGAAAUGAUGGGAUCUCAUAUUUGAUACGAAUGAGUGAGACUUGGAAACAAAAGCAAGGAACCCAUAUUGGUACUAAUGUCUUAUCGGUAUGUUCCAAAAAGAGUAUCAUUCAGUUCUAUAGUAAAACUAUUUUUUUUUUUUAUUUAUCUAAUGUGAAAAUGUUUUGAUCACAAAGGCAUUAUUAAUAUCAUCCUGCAUUAUUCAUCAUCAACGUGGAAUAUUAAAUUUUCAAAUCCUUAAUUAACAUUUUUUGUUUUCUUGUACUUUUUCUGUGUGUAUAAAUAGUAAGAGCAGCCUUGAUGCAAAUCACACAGUGGUAACCUAAGUGUUUAAUUGAUUGAGAACAUGGAGUCUUCCUUCGCUUUGUUUGUUAUUUUCUCACUUGUCUUGGUAAUCUUCAUUUCUGAUAGGCCAAGAAAAAUCAAGGCCUCGAUCUUAGAUAUGAUUUCAUAUGGUUUAUACUAGUUCUGUAGCAGCGAGUGCUAAUAUAUUUCCCUCUUCUCUGAGCAGGUUGGCAACACAAUAGCUGCGAGAAAGGACCCUGGGGAGUAUUGGAAAGAUGCCAUGAAGGAUCAGCCCAUGCCCAAGGCCAUCGAAGGCGUUCUCUCCGCCAAGAACCCCAACUGCCAUACAGCUACGGAGGCAAGUAACGAGCAGGCCGAUCAGCUUUUAAAGGAUUUUGAGCAGAAAGUAGAGAAGGCUUUUGCCGAGGACUUUGAACCCAGACCCAAUGUCUCGGUUUACCAUGAUGAUAGUAAAGUUGGAGAAGAAAAAUCAUUUGUUAAGGACUUUGAGCCCGGGCCUAACGUCUCAGUAUACCAUGACGAUGAAGUUGCUUCAAAGGGAGACAAGUCAUUUGUUAAUGACUUUGAACCAAGGCCAAAUGUCUCUGUUUAUAACGACUAAGGGAAACCCAUGUAUAAUUGAAGCAGGUACAAGUGGUCUAUGUAUGCCUUUCACAUAAGUUGAUC